CCUACGGGUGGCAGCAGUGGGGGAUAUUGCACAAUGGGGGGAACCCUGAUGCAGCGACGCCGCGUGGGUGAAGAAGCGCCUCGGCGCGUAAAGCCCUGUCAGCAGGGAAGAAAAUGACGGUACCUGAAGAAGAAGCCACGGCUAACGACGUGCCAGCAGCGGCGGUAAUACGGAGGGGGCAAGCGUUAUCCGGAUUUACUGGGUGUAAAGGGGGCGCAGACGGCGAUGCAAGCCAGGCGUGAAAGCCGGGGGCCCAACCCCGGGACUGCUCUUGGAACUGCGUGGCUGGAGUGCAGGAGGGGCAGGCGGAAUUCCUGGUGUAGCGGUGAAAUGCGUAGAUAUCAGGAGGAACACCGGUGGCGAAGGCGGCCUGCUGGACUGCAACUGACGUUGAGGCCCGAAAGCGUGGGGAGCAAACAGGAUUAGAUACCCUUGUAGUC
rnacentral:rRNA from 1 species